UUAAAAGUCUAGCUCCGCCACUGCUUGAGACACAUCGAUCACUUCCGGUGCGCAGGCAACAGUAGAUUAGCAAUGGCGUUUCGAACUUGACCGCUGCAGGACUAUCCGACAGUAACUGUUGAUAAUGUUUAUGGAAUUAUUUCAAGAACGUCAGAAAGUAUCAUGUGAAAAUGUCCCAAAUUGUCGGUGCCCAAGGAAGAAAAAAAGAAAAGAAGAAGAAAUAAAGCAUCACAGAAACAGAGAUGAAUGCGGCUCCUUCAAGUAUCUGGAAAUUGUUCUCAAGGAUGGAGCAGCUGCACAGUUCUCUUUGAGUCAAACGAGAAAGCAGUGAGUUCCAGGUGUGACCUUAAAACACAUCCACAGAAUAAGCAAAUGCACCCCACAAGACUGAGAACACACCUCAAGUUAAUCUUUUGGUUUCUUCUCUUUAACACUGAGUCCUUCCAUCUUCUCUUUCAGACCUGCAGAGUCUGACCUCUGACCUGCAGAGGAAGUAAAUAUGUUCCUUAUUCACACAGCAAGAUCUGCGCUCAGGAAGAGGUCGUAGAGUUUAUCCAGCUCCUUCUCCGCGCCCUUUGGUGUGAUGUGAACUGGGAUCAUCACCAGAUCUUCCAGAACUGUCAAGACAACCAGACAGGAAUCAGGACAGUCUGAUAAAUGAGCUGCCACUCAGCAGAGACGGAUUAUCUCGUUGUGUCAACACGUCUUUCAUGGGAGGGGAACUGAAGCAAACAGGCGAGUUCAGACCUGCAGGUGGAAAAAUCCAAUGUUUUCGUUUCAGGGAAAAACACGGAAGGCGACAGGCGUGUUUUAGAAAGAUUAGACACAUUUUUACCUACGCCAGGUUUCUAAAGAACUAAAUAAAACGGAUAUAGGUGUGUUUGGAUGAGGCAUUGUUGCACAUUGUUUCCCCCUCCUUCAGGGUUUUUUAAUUUCAGGUUUUUUUAGUCACAGUGAAAUGUUUUGGUUCAUUAAAAGGCCGUUAACUGACCAAAGUCUGAGGGAAAAAGUAUUUAUGAUUGUAGCUGAUGAGUCUUUAAAUCAGAUCUGCUCUGCCGAAUUGCUUGAAUUCAGCAGCAAUGGAAACUUUACUGCAUAAAAAACAAGUUCAAGAACAGACUGACUAACUCCAGACUUUGACUAGGCCACUCCAAAAAAAAAUUUCUUAUUUGCUAAAAUUAAUUAAUUAAUUUAUUGCAGUCAUAUUUAUGUAAAUAAUACAUUUUAAAACCUAGAAUGCAGCAGCUUACCAACUAUAAGCAAUUUCUCUUUGGAGAUCAAUGAAGUCUAUUCUGUUCCAUUUUAUUCUAUUCUAUCAUAAUUUCUAUUCUGUUCAAGUUUAUUCUUAAAUGAUUAAUUAAUUGAGUAUAAAUGAACGCUGCUUCAGGCUCUGUUAUUCUUCCAAACCUGCAGUAAUCAUUUGCGGCUCCCUGCAGGUAUUUUUAGAUAAACUCGUAUAUAAAGUUCAUUAUUUCUGCGGAGAGCAAAAGGCCUGAGUGAAGCAGGAUUGUUGGUUCCAACGCCUGAGGUAUAUCAUUUAAUAGCUGCUUGGCUUUGUUCCCUGUUAUUACUGUUUAAUUACAACACCUGUAAUGUUUUCAUGCGUUUUUCUUCAGAUGUUUGCCAAGGCUGCAGCUCUGGGACAAUCGGUCGGAUUUCUCUGGAUUAGAGAGUUUUCUUUAGGUUUAUUUUUGUCGUAACUGAGGUUUGCACAUUAAAUUAUGAGAUUAUCCUUCCACAUACAGAGAAAACUGGACUAUGGCAUAUAUUUGACACUUUUAAUGCUUUGUUCUUUUAAUUUUUCUUAUUUUUAAUUAGUCUUACUUUGAGUUUUUCUACUGCAUCUCUCAUUCUAUGAAGAGAGGAAAGUGCCAAAUUACAAUAAAUAAAUAACUUGUAAAAUAA